rnacentral:rRNA from 1 species
UGCAGUCGAGGGACGAAGCCAUCUUCGGGUGGUGGAGACCGGCGAACGGGUGAGUAACACGUGAGGAACCUGCCCUGUACUUCGGGAUAACCGCGGGAAACCGUGGCUAAUACCGGAUGUUCCGCUUCUGCCGCAUGGUGGGGGUGGGAAAGCUCUGGCGGUACAGGAGGGUCUCGCGGCGUAUCAGCUUGUUGGUGGGGUAAUGGCCUACCAAGGCGACGACGCGUAGCUGGAGUGAGAGCUCGAUCAGCCACACUGGGACUGAGACACGGCCCAGACUCCUACGGGAGGCAGCAGUGGAGAAUCUUGCACAAUGGGCGGAAGCCUGAUGCAGCCACGCCGCGUGCGGGAAGAAGGCCUUCGGGUCGUAAACCGCUUUCAGGGGGGAAGAAGCGAAAGUGACGGUACCUCCAGAAGAAGGACCGGCCAACUACGUGCCAGCAGCCGCGGUAAUACGUAGGGUCCGAGCGUUGUCCGGAAUCAUUGGGCGUAAAGCGCAUGUAGGCGGCCAUGUAAGUCGGUUGUGAAAUCCCGAGGCUUAACUUCGGAACUGCAUCCGGUACUGCGUGGCUUGAGGAAGGUAGAGGAGAGUGGAAUUCCCGGUGUAGCGGUGGAAUGCGCAGAUAUCGGGAGGAGCACCAGCGGCGAAGGCGGCUCUCUGGGCCUUUCCUGACGCUGAGAUGCGAAAGCGUGGGUAGCGAACAGGAUUAGAUACCCUGGUAGUCCACGCCGUAAACGAUGGGUGCUAGGUGUGGGGGUCAGUUCACGAUCUCCGUGCCGUAGCUAACGCGUUAAGCACCCCGCCUGGGGACUACGGCCGCAAGGCUAAAACUCAAAAGGAAUUGACGGGGGGCCCGCACAAACCGGCGGAGCAUGUGGGCUUAAUUCCGAAGCAACGCCGAAGAACCUUACCUUGGGCUUGACAUACCACUUUAUAUCCCCCAGAAAAUUGGGGUGGGGUUCCGUCCCGUGGUGGUACAAGGUGGGUGGCAUGGGCUUGUCCGUCAAGCUCCU